UUCUGCUGUGAUCCUUGCCACACUUUUCACACAGGUUGAGAGAGAAAGAAGAAUAAAUACAGUUGUAAAACUCAAUGGCUAAAUGUACAUCUGCUAAUGAAGAAGCUCCUUGAAAGAAAGUAUUAAUAUUUAAGGAUUAAAGAUGUGCCAUGUAGCAGAAGAAUACCAACGAAGCAAGAAAUGUAUGGAAUUAAAAGUGAAAAAUGUUUCAGAAGGAGCAGUCUACAGAUGGUGUUGUGAGUGAUGUAGAAAUGCCGGAACUUCAUGAAUUUCUUUGAGGAGGUCUUCAUCAGAAUGGAGGAGAAAAAGUGAAAUAGAAGAUAUGAGUGUCUAAUCUUGAAAAUUAGGUGAUUGGCAAUGUGUUGGUGGUUUUUAUAUAAAGAGUGUACAGAAAAUGUUAUGAUUAAUCCAAGCAACAUGAUUUAAUGAGAAACCAA